GAAACUCAAAGGAAUUGACGGGGCCCGCACAAGCGGUGGAGUAUGUGGUUUAAUUCGAUGCAACGCGAAGAACCUUACCAGGGCUUGACAUCCCCUGACCGCGUAUGAAAGUACGUUUUCACCCUCGGGUGACAGGGAGACAGGUGGUGCAUGGUUGUCGUCAGCUCGUGUCGUGAGAUGUUGGGUUAAGUCCCGCAACGAGCGCAACCCCUACGUUUAGUUGCUAACGCGUGAAGGCGAGCACUCUAGACGAACUGCCGUUGACAAAACGGAGGAAGGUGGGGAUGACGUCAAAUCAUCAUGCCCCUUAUGUUCUGGGCUACACACGUGCUACAAUGGCCGGUACAGACGGACGCAAAGCCGCGAGGCGGAGCAAAUCCGAAAAAGCCGGUCUCAGUUCGGAUUGCAGGCUGCAAUUCGCCUGCAUGAAGUCGGAAUCGCUAGUAAUCGCAGGUCAGCAUACUGCGGUGAAUACGUUCCCGGGCCUU
rnacentral:rRNA from 1 species